AAGGAAGAAGAGGAGGAAGGAGAAGAAGGAGAAAGUCUAUUUAAUCAUUGUUGCUAUUUUUCCUUCUUUGCUACAAAGGCAGUUGGAAGCCCUGAAGGUCUCAUACGUUCCAGUAGAGGACAUUGCAUGUCCUUUGAAAGAAAAUUUCCAUUUGAUACACAUUAUUAAGCACGAUUUUAGUAAGUGAAAAGAGAACAAACCAUUAAUGGAGUGCACAGCCAAGAAUGGAAUAUAAGGUAAUAAAUUUUUUUCAUCUUUAUUGUAUCAUCAAUCUUUGAGGGCAGCAAAGGAGGUUCUGUUCUUUUGUUUAUCCCAUUAUUUCUCUGUCUUGGAGAAUCAUUGUGUUUUACUAAUUUUGUGAAGAUUUAAAUGAAGGGAUUUAAGGAAUACUUUUUUCUUCCAAAUGCUUAGGGAAUUUAUUGAGCUAUUUUCCUGGUCUGGUAUUAAAUCUAUCCCAGAUGGGACUUCACAUUUGCCCAAGGUUUAUAUAAUAAUAUAAUAAAAAUGACUACAUCAAAGACAUUCUGUUUAGUACUUGCACACACACACACACUCUCUGUUUUCAAUACUUGACAAAUAUUUAACAUUGUUUCCUUUUACUUCCUUUGACACUGAAUUUUAUAUUACUUCCUAGGAAGGAAAAAUAAUAUGACUAGGAUCCUACUGCCACAGGACUCAAGAGUUGCCUUCCAAACAUGACUUUCAAAAAAGUGAGAAAUGGUGAACAGGGGGCAGAUCAGAACUUUCGGCCUAUUUAAUGAUUGACUGUAGACUCACCGCCUAAAUCGCUUUAGACCCUUCCUGAUUUCUUUUUGUUCCAGGGUCAUGGACUAGUACUUAUUUUCAUGGGUGACUUAUUUCUUUCUUCCUCCUUCAGAUUCAGAUUGAGAAGGGUGCCCGCACUAACGAGAACAGUCCCCUUCUCCCCCCCCUCCUGCCCCUCCUCUUCCUUUGUCUUUGUUGAAUAAAACAGAUGUGGUGAGCAAUUCUUUUUAUACCUUUAUAUUUUAUAUUUGACAAGUGCACUAAGUAGUAUCAAUUUCUAAGCAUCUAUCUUUUUAUAGUUUAAACUUUUAUCAGAGAAAUACAUAAACUCAGAUGAAAAAAUCAUAAAUGUUUAACAAGGCUUUUUAAUGAAAACCAGUAUCCCC
rnacentral:lncRNA from 1 species